GGUCCCGUAGUGUAGCGGUUAUCACGUCGCCCUGUCACGGCGAAGAUCGCGGGUUCGAUUCCCGUCGGGCCCG
rnacentral:tRNA from 2 species